UACGUAGGGAGCAAGCGUUGUCCGGAUUCAUUGGGCGUAAAGAGCUAGUAGGCGGUUCAGUAAGUCGGGUGUGAAAUCUCCGUGCUCAACACGGAGCGGCCACCUGAUACUGCUGUGACUCGAGUCCGGUAGGGGAGUGUGGAAUUCCCGGUGUAGCGGUGAAAUGCGCAGAUAUCGGGAGGAACACCAGUAGCGAAGGCGGCACUCUGGGCCGUGACUGACGCUGAGGAGCGAAAGCGUGGGUAGCAAACAGG
rnacentral:rRNA from 1 species